UAUUUGACAAUGGGGGCAACCCUGCUCCAUCCAUUCCGCCUGGUUGAAGAAGGUCGUCGGGUUGUAAAGCACUUUAAGUUGGGAGGUAGGGGUUUAGGUUAAUACCCUGAAGUUUUGACGUUACCAAAAGAAUAAGCAUCGGCACACACUGUGCUCGGAGCCGCGGUAAUACAGAGGGUGCAAGCGUUAAUCGGAAUUACUGGGCGUAAAGCGCGCGUAGGUGGUUCAGUAAGAUGGGUGUGAAAUCCCCGGGCUUAACCUGGGAACUGCUUUCAUAACUGCUGAGCUAGAGUACGGUAGAGGGUAGUGGAAUUUCCUGUGUAGCGGUGAAAUGCGUAGAUAUAGGAAGGAACACCAGUGGCGAAGGCGACUACCUGGACUGAUACUGACACUGAGGUGCGAAAGCGUGGGGAGCAAACA
rnacentral:rRNA from 1 species